UUUGCAUUUUUCUAGUUCUCUUUGAAGCUUUCUGUAUGAACACCUACUGAAGAACAAGAAGGGAAAAUUUCGAAACAGAUGUCAAUACAGAAGCAGUGGAACAUGGACUUCACUGUUUUUUACAUAAGACAUAUGAAGACGCAGAACUACAUGCCCUCAUCAUUGAUCCUAUAGAUUUCUGUGACACUGUAUUUCUGCCUGAUGGUAUAUAUAUAUAUAUAUAUAUAUUUUAUCAAUCACUGCUCCAAGUAAGUGACAUAUAGUUAUAAGAUGGCCUGGAAGUAUGGGGCUUUUGAGCAAAACGCAAGCAAGACAUCCUGAAGUCA
rnacentral:lncRNA from 12 species